UACAGAGGUCCCAAGCGUUGUUCGGAUUCAUUGGGCGUAAAGGGUGCGUAGGUGGCGCGCUAAGUCAGGUGUGAAAUUUCGGAGCUUAACUCCGAAACUGCAUUUGAUACUGGCGUGCUUGAGGACUGGAGAGGAGACUGGAAUUCACGGUGUAGCAGUGAAAUGCGUAGAUAUCGUGAGGAAGACCAGUGGCGAAGGCAGGCUACUGGACAGAAGGUGACGCUGAGGCGGCGAAAAGUGUGGGGAGCGGAACCGG
rnacentral:rRNA from 1 species